rnacentral:misc_RNA from 1 species
GCUUGUUGAUGAUUUUCCCAUGCUUGUAUCUUGAUUUCUUCUCGUUUAAACCUGGCUAAGUGCUUCGCUUUCUCUGCAUCCUCCCAAGCAGCUGCGCGUGUCUCAGUAACAGUGGUAUUUGGUUGGUCUUGCUUAUCAGUUUUCAGCAAGCUGGAUGCAUUUCUAUCCUCACCAUCUUUGCUAGCCCAGGCAGCUAUAUUCAUUUUACCAAGU